CACCACUCAAGCCUAGCUUGGUCUUGGGCGUCGCGGGCUCCCCGCGCGCCUUAAAGUCUCCGGCUGAGCUGUCCGACUCUAAGCGCUGUGGCACUUAACUAUUCGCUUCCGAGUACGGGCGGCCGCGGCCGUUAAAUCUUCAUUCAA
rnacentral:misc_RNA from 1 species